CCUGCACCCCAGGCCCCAGACAGUAACCUGUGCGCCCUGGGGACAUGCACUGCACUGGCAGCCAAGGAGAUGCGCUGGCAGGCAGCUUGGGAAGAGAGAUGUUCUUCCUGGAUUCUUCUAUCAAUUCAACCUGGACCAACUGCUCUCCAGGCCAACUGCACAGCUGAUACCUUAGGACAAAUCUUAACACUCUCUUGCUUUGCCACUUCUAUAUACUUACCCUUUGUCUUCCUCUUUCUUGGUCACCCCAUUGUUCUGCUGGGACUAAACUCUGUAAUAACUUCUUAAGAAGUGGUAUAUGAAAAGGAAAACCUUUGAGACUAUUUUACUGUCAAGUCUUGUUGGGUUUUCUGUGUCCACUGCUGUAUGUCAAUGCUAAAAAGUUUGAUGCCAUUCUGAGUCCUACUCAUCAUUGCAGUAUGUCAAAACAUUUACGUUGCUUUUAAAAUAGUUUUUUUUUUAAGUUUAUAUUUACUUUGAGAGAGAGAGAGAGCACAUGUGAGUCAGGGAGGGGCAGAGAGAGAGAGAGGGAGAGAGAGAAUCCUAAGCAGGCUCUAGACAGUCAGCGUGGAGCCCCAUACAGGGCUCAAACCUUCUCUGUGGGAUCAUGUGGGAACUGUGAGAUCAUGACAUGAGCUGAAAUCAAGAAUCAAACACUUAAGUGACUGAGCCACCCAGGCACCCCAAAACAUUUAGAUUGCUUUUUAUUAAUCACUGCUAUUCUGAAAUGUCACCAUGAUUUCCCCUGGUGUAGGUCAUUUUUUUAUUCUUUGUGUUGAAUGCUAGGUGGGAUCUUUCAGUAUGGAGCUACACGUAUUUUAGUUCUGGAAAUUUUUCUUGUAUUAGUUGUUUGAUAAGUUUCUCCUGCAAUUUUGCUGUUUUCUUUUCCUGGAUUGUCAUCAGAAAAAUCAUUGUGAUGGGGUGCCUGGGUGGCUCAGUUGGUUAAGCAUCCGACUCUUGAUCUCUCAGCUCAGGGUCUUGAUCUUAGGGUCUUGAGUUCAAGCCCCAGGUUGGGGUCCACACUGGGCAUGGAGCCUACUCUAAAAAGAAAGAGAGAAAUCAUCUUGAUCCAAUCUCCACAAAUUAUACACAAGGUUUCAUGCAACAUAAAGCAGCAUUUUGUCAAAUUGAUCUGGAAAUGUGUGCAAAGGGUUUGCAUGAAUGGGUUGAAGACACAAGUGAGAGGAUGUGAGAUGGAGGGAUGCAGAAGAUGAUGAGGAGAGUGAAACAGUGUUUCAAACUUUCUUAUGCUAGAGUUAUGGUUUAAGAUGGACUUUGAAAUAAACACAGAUACCACACACAUAUCAUUUUUCAUCGUAAUAACUCAGUAGAACUAAAAUGAAGUUUUGCUGAACAUUUAACAUAUGCAAGGUUUAUCACCUAUGGUAGGAGGGUCCAAACACUACUGUCCAAUAUGGCAGCCAUCAGCUACAUGUGGCUACUGAACACUUGAAAUGUGGCUAGUGUGAAUUGUGAAAUACACACCAGAUUUCAAAGACUUAACACAAAUAAAUGUGAACUAUCUCAUUAAUAAUUUUUAUAUUGUUUACAUGUUGAAAUGAUAUUUUGGAUAUAUGAGGUUCAAUAAAAUGUAUGAUAAAAAUUA